rnacentral:rRNA from 1 species
CAGUAGCCGCGGGAAAACGAAGGGGGCUAGCGUUGCUCGGAAUUACUGGGCGUAAAGCGCACGUAGGCGGCUUUGUAAGUCAGAGGUGAAAGCCUGGAGCUCAACUCCAGAACUGCCUUUGAGACUGCAUCGCUUGAAUCCAGGAGAGGUGAGUGGAAUUCCGAGUGUAGAGGUGAAAUUCGUAGAUAUUCGGAAGAACACCAGUGGCGAAGGCGGCUCACUGGACUGGUAUUGACGCUGAGGUGCGAAAGCGUGGGGAGCAAACAGGAUUAGAUACCCCCGUAGUCCCUGUCUCUUAUAC